UCAUGGAGACCAUUGUGACACUGUGGGGCCUCACGGAACCAAAGGGCCACUGUGAGCCUGACGGGCCUCAUGGAAACAAGGGGCCAUUGUGACACUGCAGAAGAAGGAGAACAUUGUGACACUGUGGGGCUGCAUGGAAUGAAGGCAACAUGGGACAGAACUGGCUGGCUUGACCUCCCAGGGGUUACCUUAAAGGUACAGCUGAUCUUGGGGAGCUCAGGAGAUUGAGAAUCUUAUCCAGGCAUGAAAAUAGUUAAAAUUGUAUCCAGAUCAUGAAGAAGCCAGGCCAGGCUGUUGCUGGAAAAAACUCUGAGCCAUGUGCAUCAUCUCGGGCCUCUCUUCUCAGAACGGGGGGGAAGGGAGAUCCUUUGGUGGCUGCCCCAUCCUCCCCCGCUCAGCCAUGCCACAUGAAGAGUCGAGCCAGG
rnacentral:lncRNA from 12 species